UACAAUAUCGAAAAACUCAUACUUGUAUACAUAUUUUAUCAUUGUCAAUUCUUGGAAUAUCCCCUUACUUUAGAAAGACAUGCCUGUCCUCAGAAAAUGGUGGUGCACAGUACUGCUUGAGAACUUCCAUCUGGAUGGGCACGGCAGAAGGUUCCCACACUUCAUGGAGGAGGCCAAACAAAUGGCGGCUGAACUACUUCCAGUCUUCAGACUGAAGCGAAAAAGAGAAGUGAAUGACGUUUCCAGUGACAGAAUACAAAUAAUAUAUUGUAUAGGCUUAAUAUUGAUUUUAACUGUUUGAUUCUUUUGACAGUGAGUUGAAGCUGAUGGCAGUCAGCAUGAAGAAGCUAUAUCUUUUGGCUUCUGUAGAUUAUUUGUUAAAUAAAUUGUGAAGAAACUUUGGUGUGGUUAUUCUUCAAUGUAUAUUUAUAUCAAAUUAUGAUGGUAUACUUUACAAAAAAAUUAAUGUGAUUCAAUCAGACAUAUUAAAACAAUUACUUAAUUCUAAUUACUUAAUUCUAAUGGUCAAUUACUCAAUGAGUAAAGUGUAUAAUACACAAUUCCAUUAAAUAAUUGUCUACACCCUAAAUCAGUUUUUUCGUCUAUAUAACGUUAAUAAAAUUAAGCUAUAAAAAAAGCUUACUGACAUGUCAUAAUAUUGUUUUAUUCUAAUGUUUUGGUCUAAUAAGUUUAAGAACGCAAAGAAAAAAUCCUGAGGUAUUUGUCUAAAUAACGUUAAACCUUUAUUAAGCUCUAAAAGUGGUUACUAACGUGUCGAAAUAUUAUUUUAUUUCUAUGUUUUGUUAAUUCAAGCGAUAAAUACGUUUACCGGUAUUUGUCUUCCGUCCAGCCACAGUACUUCUGUCCCGCCUGGGUGUUCUGUCAUGGCAGGGUGUUGUUCUCCGGGGCUGCAGUUGGAUACUAUUGGAUUUCUG